GGAGAAUUAUAGAAGUACGGAAUCGUGGACUCGUUGAGGUUGGAAGAGAUCUUUAAUACCGCCCAGUCGAACCGUCAACCCAGCACCAUCACAAUCACCUCUAAACCACAUCAGCCAGCGGCACAUCCAGACGCCUCUUCCUCUUAAACACCACCAGGGACAGUGCCGCCACCACCGCUCUGGGCAACCUAUUCCAUUGCCUGACUACCCCAACAGCCGCCGUCUCAGCUUGAAGCCAUUUCCUCUGGUCCCCUCUGGGCACGGCAGAAGAGACCGGCCCCCAGCCCACUACAACCUCCUUUCAGGCAGUUGUAGAAAGCGAUGAGGUCCACCCGGAGCCUGGUCGGAACUGAACAAACCCAGCUCCCUCAACCACUUUCCACAGGACAUGCUUCCAGAUGUUGUUUGGCGGGUCUCGGCGCCGGCGGCCCGCGGGAGGCUGAAAGGCUCCGCUGAAGGGCCGCGCUCCUUCCCUCGCCGCCUCAGCCCUUCAGCACCUUGAGCGUGAGGGCACAGCUGCCCCCGCCAGGGACUGAGGGUGUCGGACGUCACUGACCCAGCCCCAGCGCUCUCCUCGCCAUCCCCGUCGGGGUGAAAGCCCUCAGACACCUCCGUGACCCCGCAAGAGGCGCCCUCGUUUCACGGGGAAGCAGCAGGACGGGCUCCGUGAGCGGGGCCCACGCCGGAGCCGCCGCGGUGCUGGUGGCGCUGGCGGCCCCGCCGGGCCCGGCCGGCUCUCCUGCCGCGGCACCGAGCAGACAGCGCCGGCCUCCCCGACGGCGUCUGCCUCAAACGUGCGGAAAGGGCUUAUAUUUGGUAAUUAUAUUUGGUAAUUCAUGCUAUGGUGCCGUAGUUAGGAAAUUGCCCAAUACAGGGACUUGUCACCCUUCGUCUGAAGUUGGUCGUUUCUGGAGUAAAAAAGAAUAUUGUGACUCUGAUGUGGUAAAGGUACUGGUAACACAGAUCCCAACUUGUUUGAGGUUCAUCUGACGUCUGGCAGAAUGAGUUUAGAGGGAAUAGACUGUGACUGAAGAUCAAGUUUGGAAGUCACCACGACUUAAAGAAAAACUUGUUUUACAACACAGUUUAUAUUGUGGCUUAACCCCAGUCAGCAAACAAGCUUCCCAUUAGCAUGAUGGGGGAAAGAAUCAGAUGACUUCAUUUUAUUAUUCACUUUUAAUUAUCAACCCUGCUUUCAAGGAAGAUCCAAAACAUAGCCCUACACUAGCUACUCUAGAAAGAAGAAAAUCCACUCAGUUCUAACCAAAACCAGCACAACUGCAAAAUUCUCCAUGGGGUAAAACUAAAUUUUCCUUCCUUAAAUGCAGUGUCCACCAUAAGCAUGAAACAAGGUGCGUGGUCUCUUUCCAUUCUCAUUCAGUGGGAAGCUAAAUAUGUCCCAGUACCCCCAUGGAUGUGUCACCUCCUCUAGUUGCUCUCUAGGCCAUCCAGACACAAGUCAUCUUUUGCCUGGGAGCUGUGCAGCCCCCUUCACAUUUGUUGGUGUGUCAGGAGACCUUCCUAAGAUGGCAGGUAACUCUGGGCUGUUCUCAAAUGCUGUCUAGCCAGUUUGCAGCAUUAGCAGAGUAGCUGUUUCAUGGUACACACUGCCCCAAGCACACCAUCCUGUAUUUUCUUUAGUAAAAAAUGUAUGGUGGCAUAAAAUAUCUGAGAUACCACAGCCAGUUAAGAACAUUUUUAUAGAAAUCAUUGUUUAAUGGUAAGACUAACAGUUUAAGCUUUGGAUCUAAUAAGUGUAGUGGAGCAUUAGUUUCUACUGUCUUCAUGCAUCAACUACCAUAGAAAAGAUGAUAAAACACUACUAAAGCUCAAAAGCUCAUAAUCUUUUUUGAAAGAAGUGUAAGAGUAAGCACAGACACUGUUUACUUUCAUUGUCGGUAGCUAGUGGUCUGAAUAGUCUGGCAAAGUAGUACUGGCUAUGGCUGUAACCUGUGAGGUGAGCAGAUGCAGAGGUAGCCUUUGGACCAGUAAUGUAAUAAGAUAUCUAAAUCUCAUUUUGAUACUUAAAUCUCCCCAGAGAUGCCUGUUUUACUUACGUAACCAUGGAUGGAGUUUCCACUGUCUAUAAGAGUCCCAAUCCAUUUCACUGAGAAGGGUCAUGCCCUUUUGUACAAAACUCAUGAAUGCAAUUAUGACAAAGCUGACUGGUAAAAGCCAUCCAAUAAUAGCACAGCCUUAAGAGAUGAAGACUAACAAUCACUUUGGUAUAAUUUGAAAACUUUUUGUCUUUGAGAAAGUUUUAAUAGUGAUUUUGUAUCUUGUAUUUAGUAAAUGGCACAAAGAACAAAGCAGGUUCAUUCACAUCAGUUUCUUAUCUUUGUAAAUGUGCUGCUUGCUCUGUGCAGGCUUGGAUGGGAAAUUUCCAGUCUGUUGUGGAGAAAGUACGGUGCUUUUCAUCUUUCAAAAUUGCUUUAAAAGCCCCUCUUACUUUCCCUCCUUCACCUAUCCCCAGUUAAUGCUUAAGGCUUUUAGCAGGGGCAAGGGUGUAAUGAUCUCAGAUCCACACAUGCGGAGCAAAGAACCCACUGUAUUCUUCACCAGGAGCUGCUGAAGCAUACUCAGUUAAAGUUAUUGAGUAAUAUGGUUUUCAGCUGUGCUGAGGAUGAAAAAAUGUGAGUUUUCUCUCAUUUAUUUACUGUUGCUCCUUAGCUGUGCACAAAUAAUGUACAGCUGUAAACAUGCAACAUGCUACUACAGGAAAUAUUUUUCUCUUCCUCGGAGAAGAAUUACAAGUUUAUCAGUACGACUUCUUCCUCAAUAUUCAUAACUUACAUAAAGAGAUUUGACAAUUUUCCAAAUUUAUAGUGCCAUUUAAAGCACACACUUCUGCUUUGGUGUUUUCAUAUCACAAGCACUCAAGAGUUUAAACCAUUACAUGUGCUUAUAGAUUUCACUGGGAAUUAUCCACAGAAGAAUUCUGGGGUCACUUGUGGUUGCCACUGUGACAGUCAUUUGGCUCUCUGCUGGAGCUACUCUGACCCAAGCAUAGUUUCCAGCAGUGUUGAUUUUAAGUGUUACUAAUUAUAGAGAUUCUUUUGUUUCUUUUCAGGGACUAUACCACCGUCAGAGAAAUAAAUGACUAGAUUAUGAUAUGCCUGUAUUUUUUUUUUUUGUUGGAAAUAAAUUGUUUCCAUUGUUUGCAAAUUCACAUCACACACUCCUUGUCUCCGAAUGUGGCUAUUUUAAAAGUACUUAUUUUUGGAGUUUCUUUCUGUCAGUUAUAUCCUGGUGCCCUCUAAGUAUAUUCUUUGUAUAUUCAUUAUGCUUAAAGUUUGAACAAUUACUGUUAACAUUUAUUCCUUUAAUUAGGGGCAUAUGUUGUAUUACUUCUGAAAUGGUGGCCAGUAAAAUAUGUGCUCCCUCUAUUUCCACUUGGAAAGACAGCGAAUAUGCAGCAGAUGCAUAUUACACCUAUAAUAUCUGUAACAUUUCCUGUUCUGUAGCACUCCUUGGUGUAAAAUGUGUUCAGUAAUCAUUGUGCACUCUAGAAAGUUUAUCAGGGAAAGAGACCACACAGAACAGUUUUGCAGGUCUGUAGGGAGAUUGUUGAAAAGGACAAACUGCUGCUGUCUCUAUUUGAGGACGUGUAAACAACAUCUUGCACCUUUACUUACAGGUCACUGGAGAGCACAUAUACCGAAAAUGGGACCAAGCUGACCCUCUCCAGCAACUUGAGCAGGUAUUAAAAAAUCCAAUUGUAAAGAAGUCUUUAGUGUUUAUGUAUGGAUCUUGUUAGACCUUGGCUGAUUUGGAGAUAUGGAUAAGUAAGUACCCCAUCGUGUACACUGGAACUGAAGCUUUCUUUUUCAAAUUUACCAUUUUAAGUUAAUUUGAUCAAAUAAACAAAAAGUGGCUUUGAACAUUACCAGAUUUUUAGCCCUCUCCUUGUUUACUGCUUCCCUACUGGAGCCAUAUUUCCUGUCUUCAAGACAUGUAUUGGAUGUGUUAGCUGGGGAAACCCAAAUAAAAUCUGUUUAGAGUGCAAAUGUGUGUGUUUACAACAUUCAGAUUGGAGUAGGAUUGUUUUGAGAUUGAGUAGUCAAACAUUUAGUAACUUCUUGACAGUCUUAUUAGACUUUAUCACCACAGUCCUGCUUUUUACAGCAAGUGCUUCCUGAAACAGUGUAAGAGCAGUGACAUAAAUCAGUGUCCACCAGUGCAUUGCAUUUACUGUGACAGAUUGCAUUGCAGUGAAACAUCUCUCCAGAUAAAGCCUAGUCUGAACCUUCCCUACUGUAGCAAAGAGAAAAGAAAUCCCUUGUUAUCUCAACAUUUGUGCCAAUUUGCCUGAUUUAGCUUUGAAUUUUAGGAGCACUUCUGAAAACAAAUCACAGUAAAUAGUUCAGACUGGAAGUGUCAGCUCAUGGGGAAACCAGAAAACACUACAUGGCUGAUACCUACCCAGAGUAGAAAUCGAAUUAAACAUUUGCUACUGUACUUUAGGAAUAGCUGCCUGGUGCUAGGAGAGAAGGUAGGGAUGAUUUAGAGACAAAAUGGGGGUUUGAGUGAUGUAAAAGAGAAGAUGGGAAUAAUCUGAAAAACUAAACCCAAACUGACAAAUCAACUCAGACGGCUUCAUCUAGUCUCUUCAUAACUCUGGUCAUAAUUUUCUUCUGCAAGUUUCCUGAUAAAUUUUGCCUGGAUGUUGUUUAGUCCUCCUUUUUUUCCUGGGAGUAAACACAACCUAUGAAACCCAGGAAAGGAAUAUUGCACCAGAGCAAUCAGAACAUAGGCAAUAUUUAAUACAUGAAAGAGCUGUUUUAUCUACUAGUAGGGAAGACUACUACAGCAGUCUGAUUAUGAAUAAUUGUUUGAGUUGCAAUUAAGAUCUUCAGAUUAAUUUCCUGAAUUCCAGCAAUUACUCACUAUGCUACAAGCUGAGCCAUAAGCUGUUCUGAUGGUGUUGUUCAAAGACCUUCACUCUUACUUCAGAUUCUUGCACAUUAAUCUAUCUGUAACUUUCCCCUCUUCCAUUUACUUCCAUUGUUUCAAGUGUCAAGAGUAAAGAUUUUUUUUUUCUUCUCUUUAUUAGUAUUAGGUCUGAAUAUCUGCAGCUGGACAUAAUUUGGGUUGAUUCUGCUACAGUAGCUGUAUUAUGAUGUGUCAAAUCCUAAAUGUCAGAGUAUGUGCUUUUUGCUACAUUUUAAUUGUUGGUAGCAUUCUGUGACCAGUUUAGACAGGGGUAGCAGAGAUGAAGAGGGUAUGAAAUGGAAGUUUGUAGUGGUAGAGGAUGCACUGGUCACUAUGUGAGGAUCACAUCUCCUGAAGAAGGUCACAAAGCUGCAAGGAUCACAAAGUUCAGGGUGUGCAUCUUGGGAGAGUACUACUGCUAACAACAUAUGCAAAUCCUUAGGGAAUAGAGAGUUUGAAGACCAAGGAAUUCAAGGUACUAAGUCUGCAUGGUGAGCAGUGCACAAGAAGUCUGUAUUGGUGCUUGACUAAUUUGCAAGUAAAAUUUUACAUCCUUGUUUCACCAGCUACGAUCCUUAUUUGAGCAGUGCCAAAUCCCUCCUGGGAGGGCAGAGUUAUGAGUGCCUGCAAACUGUGGAAGGAUCAGAACAGCCUUUUCUCUAGUGACCUGGCUCUUUUGUUGAGUCAGUUUUUAGAAAUUUCUGGUUUUAUAAUUUUUUAACCUGAGAAAUGUGGGUUAAGUUGUAUGUGUCAAAAAUUCAGUAUAAAUGUGAUCUUUGUGGUGCUUUUGUUUGGAAUAGCUUUAGUUUUAAAAACUUUAUUGCAGAAUUUAUGCAGUGGUAAAGCUGUUCCUACAAAACAGUUUACAGUAGCUGUCAGCAUCAGAUGUUUUCUAGUUACUACAUUUGCCACCUAGCAACCACAGUAGGGUAAUUGUUCUGCAAGUCAUCCGUGUGUGCAGCCCUGUCAGAUAAAGAGACUCUGCAGCAGGAUUACCCACCAGUCAUCAGUCAUUAAUGGCAAGACAUCUUUCUUACAAUACAAAGUGCUCUGGAGAUUCCCCAGGGUGAAUGCACAGGGCUUCAAAACAGCACUGCAUUUUUUCUGUAAAAGAAAACCUAUAUUCCUUAUGGUAUUUUUUAUGGUGAGGUCUCCAGUCAGAAGUUAUUCCCUGUUCUCAAACAAGAGAAUACAAAAGCAUUGGCAUUAGCUCUACAUUCCAUAUGCUCCACUAAGAAAUUCUGAGCUCAAAUUGCUCAGGUCAGUCCCUAUGUGCGGCAGCAGUCAGGUUUUGAAAAGUCCAGGGAAAAUGAUUUUCCAAAGCGACCAAUGAUUUGGGUACCUCUGUUUCCAGAACUGAAUGUGACCUAAAAUUGUACCUAAAAGGAACUCAUCUUUCAGCACAGUGUUCCUAGUCCCUGGCCACAAGCAUUUGGGGAUUAUGGUAUUGUCUCAUCACCAAUUCCUUGCUGAAGAGCUGCCAAUGAGCAGGGAGCAUCUUGGAUACAUCCACGAACUCUGCUUCUGGCAAGAGAGAGGGAGCCCCAGGCAGGGUCACUGUGGAAGCCUGAGUGGCCCACAAAGGUGUGGAUAUCACACCUGUAUUUCAGAGGAUGCUUUCCUGAGGAUGUGUGUUGUGAGUUCCCUUGGGUCCAGUGGGAUCAGCCAUCCCUCCCAAGUUCCUGUGCACCUGCAGCUUCCUCACUGGUGAGGAGGUACAAGAAUAGAAAAGAUUGCUGCUCCUGCUGUAAUCUUGGAGAACAGUGUGAUCCUUCCUUGGGGCCUGAAAUAAAAGUGAAAGUAGGUUACUUCUCUUCAUUUGGAUAGGUACUCAUAGGCACAUUAUCCAAUUAAAUUAUUCUCUUAUUAAAUAUUUCCAGAAAUUGUGACCUAAAUAGGUCUCAUUCAUAGAUAACUGGCAAAAAAGCCUCCUUUUUGAUGUAUGCAAGAGAUGUUUUAACUUGACUCUCUUACAAAUGUGGCAAAUGGCAAGAAAAGCCCCCUCCCUUCUGCUGGAGGCAGUGCUCUUGACUCUUGUCUAGCACUGAGGCAGAACAGGUGUUUUGAUUUUGCUCCUAACACAAUCUCUAUGUGACCAUCCAUGAAUUUAGUUGAAAUCAGGUGGUCCACAGUGUUGCCCUUUCCUGGAGUUAUUGUGAGGUGUUAGUAAACCAGUAUGUUUAUUUGCAUUGAAAUUAGAAAUGUGCUAAAAAUAUAUACUUUGUUAAAAUAUACUGAUUAUAAAAUAGUGCUUAUUUUUAAAGUUUCAGAUUAAAAGUACAAAGUAUAGGUUCACUGGUUUUGUCUUGUCAAUCCACCAACACUAGCGGAUGCAUGAAAUGUGAAAGGUGUAUUCCUACUGCUUUACAGUAAUUUCAGUGAGAAUGUAGCUGGUGUUUCUCAUUUAUAUUAAGAAUAUCUUGAAACUCAAAUGCUGAUUUCAUAGGUAUCGUGAGGUAACAUGCUUUAAAUGAGCACCUAAUGACCACUAUGACCACAUAAAAUGUAAAUAAUCUAAAUUACAUUUGUUUUUAAGCCAACUUCACUUCAGUUUUUCAGACUGUUUGGUGCAAAAAGGGAACUGGAUUUGACUUAGAAUCCAAUAAAUAUUGAGCUGUGUUGUUCUAAUGUGCUUUCUGGUUGUAUUCCAUCUACCCUACACACAGCUGGUAGGUCAAGCUAUAUUGGCUCUACCAAUAUAGAUACUGUGUCCAAUAGACCUUCAUGCGCUUGGGCAAUGGAGAGGUUUUUAAUUAAAACAUGAUGAUUCAAAUCAAAGAUAAAUUAGUAAAAUAAAAUGCAAAUUUCAAACACAGUUCUGUUAGUUCUUUUUGCAAUAAUGUAUUUUAAUCCAAUCUUUUACAGGGUUAUGACUUUGCCUUUUUGAACAAAAUAUCUCAAAUAUUCACUAUUUUUAUUUUUCCUCUCUUGUCUAUAUAAUGUUUAAUUCCAAAAGUACUGAGAAGACCAGACCAAAAAGAACUUGUAUGAGAUCUAAAAUUCUGUACUUUACAGAAAAAUAACUACUUGGUUCCUUAUGCUUAGAUCUACCUCUCCUGUCAUGUUAUCCUUCAGUUGUAAAGAUUUAUUUCGCCUGGACCAGUUCCAAACUAAACCUUAAUGCUGCAGUCUCAACACAUGCUGAUAUUUUCAAAUAAAAAUGAUUCAUUUGUAUUUUUAGGGAGCAUCUAUCUCUAGAUUUAAUAUCUAAGUUUAUAAAUUUGGAAGAAAGACUGUCUUGUGAUAUAAGUUUCUAAAAUACUGCACUGGAUCUGACAAUUCAUUUGCAGACUACAGCUCUUGAUCACUCAGGUCAGGUCAGAACUGUAAAUACAAUCUGCAUUAAUACAGUGAAAAAGCAGAUCUGAAAUGUUGUUAAUCAGUCUGUGACUGAAGACAGUCAUCACUACCCUUAAACUUGAUGGAGGGCAGGGGAGGGAAGAGUAGCAGAAAGGAGGGAGAAGGAACAACAUGGAGUCUACUGCUAACAUUGUUCAUGUGACACAGGAGAAAGUCUGAUUGUUCCAUAAGAUUCCUAGAAAAUUUUGACUUGGCCAAUAUAAAAUAAUUGGCUUUCCUAUGAAGGGCAUUACUUGCCCGACUAACUCUAAUGUUAUGACAAUAUGUAGCAAACCCAAAAGAAAUUGCAAAAAAAAUAUAGGUGUGGAAGAAAAAAUAUAUACUUAAAAAAUGUAUUUACAGAACAUUUUUAAGCCUGCUGUAUGUCACUUUCACCUUUCAAGGACUGGGAUAAUAAAGCUAUUUUUAUUCCCUUUCCACUCCUCAUCCACUGCCUAAAAUAUCCCAGCCAGCAGAAUGGAUUAGCAUUUUCUGCUCCACAGAACUUGAUAAGAAAGUGUUCAGUCUGCAGAAGGUGCUGAGAACUUGCCUGACCCUGCUUUACAGGAAUCAGAAGUUUAGGACCAGAGGAUUAGGCAGCAGAAUCAAUAUAUUUAUUCUAUUUUUGCCAGGCUACAAAGGAGUCUGGAGUCUUUUAAACCAAGGAGAAAGUUUGCCAUAUAUUUUUGGUACUCUCACUGUGUAGUUUGCUUUCUGUGGAAAGUAACAUCAUCUCUGCACUUUGCUUUCAGUCAGUGCCUAAAGGGACAAUAUCUUCAUCUGCUCCUUUCUAUUUAUGGCAUGGCCAAGGGCAGCCCUUUAAACCACUUGCCAGAUUGUUUCUAAAGAUCACAAAAGACCUGCUCAGCUUGGUGAAGUUUCAUUUAUGAGUUUCUAAUUUUUUGAGAUGUGGAAAGAGAAUUUAAAAUUGAAUCCACUGUAUUAUAUCUUCAGUGAACUAACUUCUUUGGGUAGAUUUUCAACAUUUUUUCCAUUAAAAACAUUUUAGAAGUAUCUUUUCAUUUAAAUGAGGCCUUAAUUUUUAAAUUAUGUGCAUAGAUCCAUCAUCAUUUGCAUUGCUUUUAAAAACUUAACUUCUCAGGACAUGCCACCUGUAAUGGUGUUUCAGGUGCAAAUGCUGCCCCAAUGGACUUUGGAACUUGCCAAGGUAUAUCCAGGAUGAGCCUCUGCUUGAGUGCCUGUGGCAUUCAAACUAUGAAGUGUUUGGAGGCUGUUCUGGGAUGUGGUGUAAUCACUAUGCCUGGAGUACAGAUAAAUACACAUUGAUUUUGAAAAGCCUCAUCUCCAGUCUGACUGUCCAAGAUCAGGGUGAAGCCAACUUGAACUUCAGAUUUCUGACAAAAUUUUUAUAAAUGAUGAGUAGAUAUCAGAAGUGCUGAAGGGUAUCAGAAGGGGUAGACAUUUGAAAUAUUUUUGCAUCCAAACCAUCAUAGCCAGGUUAUUGUGCAUAAAGUAUAAAUAUGAACCAUCUUGAAAUAGAUGUAUUGAUAUAAAUUUACUUCUCAGUUAAUAUGAAGAACCACAGCUCAUUUAAUGCAAGAGAGAAAAAGUAAUUGGUAGUUCUUUAUGGCUCCCAAGUGGCAGCUAAUUUCAGCUGAUGUGAGCAGAUAGUGAAUAUCUCACAGAUGGGCAAAGGGUGUGAAAGUAUGCUUCCCCUUUUGAAGAGGAUAACCCCCACACUCACAGAUGGAAAUAACUAACUUUUGGCAUUGCUUAGUUUUAGUGAAUAAAUCUUUGUAGGAAUGCAACAGACCAAAUCACAAUGAAUGACUCUAAAUUAGACACUUUGUACUCUACACUGAACAUGUAAUUAAAAUAAUAGCUCUGCUGCUGUUUGAAUCUUUCUCAGAUAAAGUGCAUGUGCACACACUGUCAUGGGAUAAUUACACAUAACAUUGUAAAUGCCAGCUGCUUAAGGGAUAUCCUUCCAUAUUCUGGGUCUGUUUCUCCUCCAUCUUCACAUGUAGUACAAGCAUGUUAUGCAGCAUCUGUAUACACCCAAUGCCACUUUGGCCAUCUUGUACUUUGGUGAAUAUAUUUCACUGGUUUGGUUUAAUCCACUACUCUGUGGGGAAAAAUGUAAAGCCAAAAAAAAAAAAAAUAGCAUUUGCCUUUGAAUAAAAUCUUACGCUUCCUUUGUAUAUUGAAAACUGCAUUUGAGGCUGAGUAAAACAAUUGUCUUAGUUUCUUCCUAAUUAUCUUGAACUGAUUGCAACAGUUUUUAAUUUAAAGUGUAGUUGAUUUUCUUCAUCUUUUUAAAUGUUCUUGUUCCACUCUUAGAGGGAGAUUUUCUGUACACAACAAGCCUUAAAAAAACUAUUUGCCAAAAUGUGAUUGUUGAAGAUAAACAGUAAUUGGCAGUGUGUGUAGCUGCAGCCUGUGAGCCCAGGCUGGUGUGUUAGUGCUGCACUCACAGACUGCCUGAGGCAGGAGCAGAAUUGUCUCUUUGACCCAGAGACUAGAUUAUUUUUUCAUUCUCUAUCCUGCCUAUUUAUGCUGUCUGGCACUAGCCCCAAUGGCUGGAGCAGUAUAUCAUCACAAUGUCUCACACCCAAGUUCUGAUGUUAGUUCUCAGCACUUUUUAAAUCUUCUGCCUCCUGAAUUUGUCACUUCUUGCUAUAUUUGCAUCAACAUUCUGGAGUUGCUGCACAGAUCAUAACGUGUAUAGGUAGCUGCCUCCUUUAGGCAGGACAAAGCUUAUCUUGGGCUGGCAGCUCUGAUCCUGGCUGUAGCUGUAGAUUUGGCUCUUGUCCUCGAGAGAAGCAAUCCUGAGACACUAGCAGCUGGUGUAGUGCAAUAAGGUCUGUGCUCACAAGAUUUUGUAAAUCUCCUUAAGAUUGCAUUAGCAUUCUGUUCUAUAUAUUUUGGUAGUUUUCAAUGUGUGGGGACUUUCACCUGACAGGUACUGAAAGUGCUUUGUCAGAGUAAAACCAAAUUAAAGGGGAAAGAGGGGAAGCUCUGUCAACUUCACCUGUACUCAGUAUGAAGCUUCUAAAGCUUCUUGCUUGGCAAGAAAUUAAGAAAAACUCCACAAACAUAAGGAUAAGAUGAUCUCUAAAUACAUCAAACAGCUAAGUGCGGGGGAAGAAAGUUCAUUAAUUUUUUCCAAGUAUUUUGAGGCAAUUCUGAGGCAGGCUGUCUCUAACACCACCUCUUUGCUAAUAUUCUUGUCAUGACAGCAUCAAGCUGAAGAUCUGAGCAGUCAUGCAGGAGCUCCUCGGGGAGGGGGCCUGGGAGCUGCAGGACCCCAUUUCCCAGCCUCUCUUUCCAAUAGGUAGCAAAGAUUGAGGUCUAAUUUAGUGCACAUUGUCAUUGAACUAAACUGCUGUUUUAGUAUUGAUUUCAGUGGAGCAAAACAAGGCCCUUGCAGUUCUAACUGCAGUUAUAAUAUAUGGAAAUGGAAUAGAUACAGCUGAGGGCAAAAUUAAUUCCACUAUUUGGAGAGAGGGAGAAAGUUGUGCAUUUGCAAUUACGAGGAACCAAAAAUAUUUUGAAUUAGUCACAGGACUCAGUGUCUUAAUCACACAGUUUAAUAGUCUAACAUAAAUAAACUCUACUUUUUCAAAAAUCUGUAUGCAAGAUGGCAGUAAAUAGGCUAAGCUAGCAGUCCUGUAGAAAUAUUUGCAUUCUCACCAGUUUCAAAGCAUCAGUCUUCUGGAAUUAUGUGCUUUGAAUAAAUCACUAUUGAAGGCUGAAUUGGAAAAAUAAAGUCGAAGAUUAUUUCACUGCUGAUGCAGGACUAGUUGUAUAUCCAAAACUCAACAUCUGUUUUCUGUAAGUGCAUCAAGUAUCACUGCUUUACUAAGAAAGGUAUAGAGAAGUUUGGUAUUUUGAGCAAACCCUCAACAGCAUUCCAUGGCUGAUUUCUGCUUUUGUCAUGCAUUUUCAAGCACAAGAUGUAAGAAAUACUUCUGAAUUCAAAAGUACCCUUAUCAGAAGAGAGCUGUGUUUGUUCAAUUAAUCACACAGUUCUUGUGUAAGGGAAAAACUCAUGCUUCAGUUUUGUGGAACUCCAAAUGCAAUGAUUUAAGAAAACUAUUCCCAGCAUAGUGACUUUUUUUGCACAGAACCGAUGUUUAUUUAUUUACUUUUAUGAUUUUAUAUAUAUUCAAAAUUUCUGCAAUUUUGAAAUAGCUGCAAGCUAUUUCUCCAAUUUUGCAAUCACUAUCUCUACAUUUAGGCACUAAUGCUUAAUUGAGCAUCUUGUGGUGAUACUUCAGUGAUUUAAAUGAUUGCACACAGAUUUUCAGCAUGCUGCAAUUGCUUUGAAAUUCACUUUCCAUAAAUGUUUUUGCAGCUAAAUAGAGUUCUUGGUCUUACAUCUGUAUUUAAAGGGCAUACAGUCUCCCUAUAGCCUGUGACAUAGAACUCCAGCUGAAUAGUUACAGAAUUAUUUUAAAAUAAUUAUUUGAGAAUCCAUUGUAUGAUGGAGCACAAAAUUGGAUCAGAUCAAGAACUGAAUGUGCAGUUCCCCAGUGUCAUGAAAGCCCUUACUAACAGCAAUUAGAAACUCUAGCGGCAGCAAAUUGCAAAUGUGAUUAACCUUAAAUGGAAACAAUUUUAUUAAACUAAAGAUCUGAUUAGCAACUGAACUGCACAAUGCAGAAUUUUCCAGCAGGGGUUUCAAUACUACCAGAGCCUACAUUUAAUGCUGAUAUGAGUUAAACUGUUUCUUUGCAUAAAUGCUGUGGUAAAGAAAUGUUUUUUGAACCAGACAUGUCCAUCUUUAAAAUAAUUCCUAGUGGAUCUAUUGUUGCUAGUCAGUGGGCUGUGUUGGAAAUGACUUACAGAACAUUAGGAAAAAAAUGAAGAUAUCAAUUCAUUCUUACUGGUGGGCAUCUCUUGCUUUCUUAUAUAGAUAUAGCAAUAGGUAUUGCUGCCUCCCUUCCAUUCUCUGCAGUGAUAUUACAAAAUGUCCAUAGUUUAUUUCCAGUAUCUUUCUGCCCAGCAGAAUUAGGGAACAAUCCCUCUUUGAAAGCUGUAAGAAAUUGUGAGGUCAUGUACAGUACUGUUCCAUAAAUUCCUUGCCUGUUUUUUUUUUAAGCUGUUUUUACAUUCAGAGCUACCCAGCCAAGGUGUGACAGAGGGAGACAGAAUAUCUUAGCUAAUGUCUAGUGCAGUCAUUGCUUUUAUUUGUUCAGUUUGCACAUUAGGCUUCUCCAGAGAACUCACAACACACUUGGAAUGAAGAUCUUAUGUAAGAAUCCCCACAGAUCUAAACCCACCAUGCUCAGUUUUAUGGAAUAGGGAAUGAAAGCACAGCUCAUGAACAGGGGAACAUCACAGUCUAUGUAACCCAGUAAGAGGAGACCACCUUCAUUUGUAAUUUCUAGAGAUAUUAUUCCUCAAGUCUUCUUCCUAUAGCCAUAUUCUAUACACUUGAAGAAGAACUCUACAGAGAAAAGAUUUUACCAUAAAUUGGCACAUCCUCACUUUUCCUAUAGCAUUUGGCCAGUUUUCUGUGGAGUUUAGGUAGCACAACAUACUAGUCUUUAUGAAUGUAUGUGUGUGGGUGGAAGCAAAGUCCUGUUUAGCAUUUCAUGUAGGAAGUGAAAUGUUUCUGCAAUCCAUCAGCAGAAUAAAAUGUAUGUGCCUUUUGAUACUUCAAGGCUUGUUAUCACAGUGCAGUGGUGUAGAUUUCGACAUACACUGAGCUUUUCUGGUAGGGAAUCCAAUUUUUGUUUUGUGAUUGGGUGAGGGUAGUUGAUUCCUUCCAGAGGAAUGAAUGGAGCACUGUGUGUGUGAUGCAGGGAUGUCCAAUCCUCACUUGUGAGACUUCUGGCAUUAUAACAGCCUCUUCUGUGAGGGGAACAAUGCCCAUUUUCCACUGCUUUCCCAAUUCUCUUGGCAGUGCUGCAGUCCAUGAAGUCCUUCUGCCAUUGCUGCUAUGUGUCUGGUGCCUCUCCAGUCCCCAGCAUUUUCUAUGGGAAAGAAAUCUUGUUCCUCAUUCAGAAAGUUGGGAAUGCAGCUCAUUAGAAUCUUGGCAGCAUGAAUGAAGCUUGUAAUUUAACAUCAGAUCUCAUUAUGGCUCAACAGAAAAUAUCAAUUGUCAGAUAGGGAGCAAACCAAGUCCAUUAGUAGUCUCUUCCCUCCCCCACCAUCUAUUUUAAUAUGCUUUUUGGAUAUGAAAUAGAAGAGCUUAAACCUCUCAUUGAAGUGUUUUUGAAAGUUAUCUCAUUUCUUCUAGAUCUCCAACAUUACUGUGCUGUCCUCUUUCUGCCAGAGUAUCCAAAAGGCUUAAGGAAAUUAAGUGCUACAGAUAUGAUGCAAGAGUUGCUGAAUGGGAACUCACUUAACUCAUUUCCCUUAAGGACAAAUGACAUAUGAAUUUUCCUUCAAUUCCCAGAGAGUGUCUCCAGGACAUCACAUAGAGGAUGCCACACUUCCUGCCAAUUGUGGGGUGAAAUUCUUUGAGCCUUAAGGAAUGUGAACAAUCCUCUUGUCAAAAUCCUGUGCACAUUCUGGAAAAAGGCACAAUUUGCUCAUUUCCCAAUUGAUAAUCCUGUCUAGUAUGUUGAAUUACUUUGAUUUUGAAUUAUUCCAUGUUAUGGUUUUAGGCCUCUUUUACACAUUUGUGUGAUCUCAUCCCUACCAGGUACUCCCACUCCUUUAGUCAGACUUGCUGCUGUACUUCUUUUUUGCCAUUUUUCUAAAAGCACACAUUCUCUGUAUAUAUAACUAUAUAUAUACUGCAGUUACAGUUGGGGAAAAUGCUUUGUUGGCUUCUGAAAAUGCUUUUUAGUACUUUUUCCUGAUAAAAGUUAAGAAGACUGCAGUUGGGUGAGGUAUUGUUAGUGGCACAAGAUUCUUAUGGCACAAAUAUUUGUUCCCUUCCCCAGUCCACUCGGAUUUCCAGGAAAGUCUGGCCCUCAUUCCCCAACAAUUCCUGCCUGUGGUGGGGGCAGGCAGCUACUGCCUUGCAUGAGUCCUGCAAGGGUAAUGACACAAGGGAGGGAAGGUCUUUUUGGAAUUCCUUUAGUCUUUAAAGCCUUGCAGAUGGAAAUCUGCAUAUGUAAUACUGUCAGCACUAGGGGAGCUGUCACUGCACAUUCAUGCAAUCAGGCAGAAUCUUUCUCUUCAUUCCCAAAAUGAAAGAAUGAGGAGAGAAAAGAAUCCUGACACAAUCUGCUGUGACCAUUGCAAAGGCACUGGUACUAGAAAGAAGGUACUCACUACCCCUUUUAGCCUCGGUUGUAGCCAGUUCACUGAGUUUGAAAUUAAUACGAAGAAACAAAAUCAGAAUCAAGUAAAAAACAGAAACAUGGUGAAAACUAGCAAGUUGAGGUUAUAUUAUUGAGAGAGAAAGCGAGAGAGAGGAGCUUUAUCCCCACUGUUCAAGUUGCAGAUACAGCUAUGUCAUCUAUAUAUAGAUUUUAAUUUCCUGUUAACUGUGUCCAUUUCUGCGAUACCUUCUAUUUUAACAGGUAUUCUUCUGCAAUUAUGCUGCACAUGAGUCUCUGUCAUCCAUACUUACAGGUGCCAAGUUCCACUUUCACAGUAAAUUGAAAUACUGAAUGUCUGUGAGUCAAGAGACACAGGUUCACUAGAUAUGUUUAAGCCAGUGUUGUCAGAAAAACUGGAAGAUCUUUUAAUGAAAAACCACCAAUUAUUAUUUUAGUUAUUACAAGGAAUAAGCUGUUUACAUUCGUUCAGCUUGUAAUUUUUGAGCAUUUAGAGUACUAGAAGGUAUAUAGACAUCUAUAGCUUAGAAUAAAUAGAAUUUUGAAAUUACUCAAAUCAUACUGAAUUUUUUUAAGAGUCUGAAGCAGCUUUUAAUGUUUAACCAUGAGUAUCUGCAGUAGCUGAGCUGCAAUGAGACAAUCUAUAGAAAUUAAAUUAGUAUCCUUGAAGUGAUUUCCACUGAUUUAACUAGAUUGGAUAUGAUUAAUUUUGUUUUAAAUUAAACUGCAGUUUAGACACUGUAGCUUUCCUGUGUGAGUGAGGCCUCAGAACUGAAAGUACACCAGCAUGCAGUCUCACCCCGCACAGCACAUUCAACAUCACUUGUUUUUAAAUUACAUUGUUCUUCUCAUAGGAUGCUAAAGAAGUGCCAAGUUAGAACACAAGACUCGUGGUUCAGUCAUCUCUACAGUCUGGCAGGAAUGAAACUGGCAGUGUCAUCUGUCUUCCUUUGUUUCUUUGCAAACACACUCUGUUUUUUCCCUGAAGCAGACUGUGCUCUGAGCUUAAGGCUGGGCGUGCUCUCUCCAGGGCAUUUUCCACCUGUGUUUUGCUGGAGCACAGACUUCAAGUGCUUUUCAAAUCUGCCAGUCAUUACUGCAGUAAGCUGUAAUUGAAAAUAAUGGAACUGUUGUAGAAAAGCGUGGCUUCCCUCCUUUAUUAAACAAAAUACAAAAGAACAGAGUUCGUUAAAGGAAAUAACAAAUUACAAAGCUGAGCAUUUGCUGAAGGAUGCUGUCUCUGGGCACCUGUUCUGUGUAGUUUGAGUGACUGUAUUAACAGUUCAGAUGCCUUAGAUGCUUGAAAUUAGUUGUGAUGAAUAGGGGUCUAAACCAGUUGUAGCCAAUUACCUGAUUUGUUAUGGCUUCUGCAGCUAUUAAAGCAUAAAAGUAGCUGUAGCAAAGAUAGAGGCUCCAACAAAUAGGCCAGUGUUUAAGGUUUAUGUCAGAUAAAGAAUCUCUACCGUUUUCCCUGAAUGCUGGAUCGUUGCCUGAGGUCCAAGUGUUGGUGCAGUGUGAGCACUGCAGCAAGUUCUGUACUGUCAGCACUAAUUGCUGUGGAAGGGGAAUAACAGUGAGUUCUGACUGAACAGGUACUUGAACUGACUGAGAAGGGGAAGCAGAGCCCUGCCAUUACCAUGGGUUCUAUUUGUAGAUAAGUAAGUACUAGUGCUUUAUACAAGUGCAUGUUCUUACAGCAGAACUCUUAUCUGUGCAGUGGCAGCGGUUGUGUGAAUGGGGACUGACACCAGAAAAGCUUCAACCCUUUUAUGAAAAACUUAAGUAAUUUCUCUAGUCUAAAAAGUACACCCAGCCAGUAUGCAGCCUUGUGAUUUCAUCAUAUACCAUGCUAUUCUGGCCAGAAUCAAAAAUGUUUGCAGGCCAUAACUAUGACGUGGUUUUAUACAAAUACCCUGAUCAUUAAAAAAAAAAAAUCUGUAAGCCUUAAAUUGAUUUCCUUAAUCUACGGUGCAAGCUGUAGUACCGUCAUCUGUUUUUGUUAGGGCAUCACUAAAAAAGCCAUGCCAGUAAUUCCUUAUGGUCAUCAAGCAUUUAGUAGAGUGGAUAGGUUAUUAGAAGAGGUUGUUUGAGCUAUUUAGGCUUGGGUACUGGGUUUGGAAGUGUAGCUCUUCCUUUCUGCUUUCAAAUGUUUUGUUGGGCUAUUUCGUGGAGUAUUAUUAUUCUCUAACUCCUGUGUUCAGCAAAUGCAUAUGAAAAUGUUCAUUUUAUGACUAAACAUCUGGAAAGGGUAAGGUAUUAACCUGUAUACAAGCAGCCUGGUUGUAUAAAACAUAACAGUGAGCUAUACAAGAUGUCUCUGUAGUGCUCUUUCUGGUUUUUGUAUUUGACAGUAUCAGCUGAAUGCUAUGGGUAUGAAAAGAGACAAUUCUUCAGGGCUUUGAAGUUCUUUUUAAAAAUUUUGUCAAGUUUUCCUAAUACCAAGCAAACCUAGUAGCAGAUGUUGAUUUUCUAGUCUAAUGCAUAUCCAGUAUAUAUUUUUGUCACUACUGAUGGCAGCAGAGAUUCCUCAUGGUGUGUUGCUUUCAGUGAGGUAGGGACAAAGGACAGGAUCCGAUAGCCCUGCUGUAGGGCUGACUUAUCCACACUCCUUGAGACCCUGGAGAUUUCUGCCCUGGGAUUUGCUAGCACAGCUCAUUCAAUCCAAUGCUGUCUCCUGUGGGAAGAAAGCAAUGCAGGGUCUGAAAUUUAGCAUACCUACUAUAAGGUAUUCAGAGGACAGAUAUUUGCCAAUGUUUUGUUAAAUUUCAAAGUGAUUGUGACUCUCUGGAAUUUUGAAGAUUAAAGAGGUUUUUAAUACAUUAAGCCUAGUUUUCACAUUAUGGAAGGGUUUAAAUGUUAUUUAAAACAUUGCUAAGUAAUUAUGUCCUAGAUACAAACUACCCAGUUCUCCUCUUACAUGUAAGCUCAGCAAAGCUCAGUAUGUUGUGGUGCUGCUGGCUGCAAGGCAUUAUCUAGGCAUGUUUGAUGGGGAAUUACAUGCCCUAGAAAGAAAAUUAAUAAAGAUAUCUGCUUUCAACUCCUAAAUUCUCUACCUACUUCUUUCUGUGAUUAAAAGCACAUAUUUUAAUAUAUGCAAUCCUAACACUUAAAAUUACACAGUCCAAUUUUUUUGCCGCAUCCAGGACUUCAAUAACUCAAGCAAUUCAUGGGAGAGUGGGAACGUUUGUAUUAUCUCUUCCAGAUGAGCUGAAGCAGAGUAAAUAGGUUGCAUACAGCUCUGAGAAAGCAGCUUGUUUCAAAGGGAUCCUUUCAGCUGCAAGCCAUUAUGUCAUCCCCUCUGAAGAGCUGCCCAGGCCUGCAGCUCUGGGAGAGCUCCGAGUGCUUGUCCUGGGACUGGCUGGACAGACUCCAGGCUUUGGCUACAGCUUGGGCUGCUGGUGAGUGGCAUAUUCACAUUGGAGAUGCAGGUGAGAAGCAGAGUUGUUAGUGAUACUGGCAAGGUGGCUAUGAAGGAAAGUUUUCAUAUUACAUCCUUUAAGAAUCCAAGGUGUUUUUAUGCAUCUGUUCUUUGUGGCAGGACAACCAAAGUUCCAUAGAAUACUGUGUUCUCAUGACUCAAAAUGUGUCUCCUGCAGUCAUUUGUUUGAGGACUCACCACUGGAGGGUAAAGCUUGCUUAUAUUAAGAUCUGUGAUGAAAUGUUACUUCCACUGCUUUUGAUACAUGGGCUUCAUCCACUUUGUUCACUGUGGCAUGGUAUUGGUAAACAUCCGUCCAUGUGUGAUACACAAAUCCUUUCCAAAAUUACAAAAUCUGCAGAACCAAACUUAAGUAUUUUUCACCCCUACGUUUCUUAACCCCUUCUUGUAUCUCUUUGAGUAAAACUUGCAUUUUUUUUUUCAUGAACAUCUUUUUUCAUCUUCAUUUUAACGGAUGAUUUCUCUUUCAUCUACCACUGUUAUACGGUACUUCCACAAUAAUUUUAAGGUUCAAAACAUUGGCAAUUUUUUUUCUUUUGGACAAAAUUUAGUUUCAUCUAAUUUUUCAAGUUCUCAGGAUAUCAGCACACUGAUACUACUGCCAACAGUCUCCAGUAACUUCAUGGAGCAGUGUAACUUCAAAUAAGAUGGAAUACAUGGAGAAUAUUGUGUGCCUGAGUAAAAGUUUUUUCUGAUGGGCAUUUUCAUUACAUACUGUGUAAAUCUCUCAGGGAUUGAAAUGGAGAGGGGACAUUACACAGACAUGUAGCUCCUACUUUAGAUCUGGAAGAAUUCAUGCAGAUUAUAUUUUUUAUGUAUGUCUGAUAGAGAUGUUUGGAAGGAUUUGGGGCAGGAUGAGUUUUUUGGGUUUUAUUAUUUUUCGUUAAUAGUUUGUAUAACUUCUACCUCUGCACCUGGAUGAUUUUAAAAUUGACUUUUUCCCCCCCUCUGUUUUGUCCUCAAACACUAAUAAAUAAUGGACUGUCCAUUAAAUUUGCUCAAAACACAAUCCCAUAAUAAUCAUCUGCAACACAAGAAAUUCUGUGUUCUGUUCUAAUUGAUUCACCUCAUCUUGCAACUGUGGAUGUGACUUUUCCAUGUUAUUUGCUGGAGGUCACCUUUGUGAGCUCUGAGUAACAGCAAUUAAUCUCAUUUUGUCAGUGGCAGCUCUGUGCAGUGGAAUUGGAAUUACUUUGUUAUAGAGCAAUUCAGUAAAGGAAACUAAACUUGGGUACUCAGACUACCAAUGUUUAACCCAUCAGCUGUCCCCUCACCCAGCCUUCUUAUUCUAAAGGACUUAGGGGGUUCAGGUGUUUUCCCCAAGCCUGUUAGCAGACCUGGUGCAUGCUUAGGAGCACUUCCUAGCUGUAAUAAAGCACAAGAGUGCAAAGUAGGAGUUGAGGGAGUUAUUGUAUGCAAUUGUAUUUCUUCACUCUCACGGAGUCUGCUUUACCUUGUGUGAAAUGAAAUUUAGCUCAAAGUUUCCACAGUCUCUUUCAUUUAAAUGUGACAAAGAAAAUGCCUCUAGUGCAUAUCUGUUUCUCUUACUGCACUUCUGAGCACUUUCACAAGUUAUGUAGAGCUGUUAACCUUAAAAUAAAUUUCUUCUAAGUGUCAUUUCCACCUCACACUCACUACUAGCCAGUUCACAGUUCAGAGCAUUGCCUGUUCACUGGUCCAUUGUAACUUCUGAGUGUCUCUGUGCUGAGCUGAGAGAUGCCCUUGUUGACAUUAGUUGAAAGUUUCUUCUUUCAUUCUCACCAGUCUGAUCACCCAGCUGAUUUCUGCUUAAAACGUCAGCUGUGGCAGGUGGAGGAAGCAGCACAGACACAGAACAACCCUUGCCCUGCAGCACACAGGAGAUUCUCUGCUCUUUUCUGUGGAAUGAUCAAGAGGAAACAGAAGUAUGAUGCUGGCAUUAGAAAGGGACCUUGUUUUGUGGGAGCAGCGUUGUACUUAUUGCUCCUGUUGUGUUUGCUGCACUUCUAAUUCCAUGGGUUUCAGCUGCUUCAUGUACACAUUGCUGGAAAUAUCUCCUGAGUAACACCUCAAACCCCUUGCUGGCCUCUGAGGCUUCUAAUGUAGCUGCCCAUGGUAGCAGGAAAUUUUCACUCCCUUGGAAGUUUGCCUAGAGGACACAGACCAAACACCUUUCAGUUUUCUAAAGGGCCACCAACAGGCAGCUUCCUUCACACUGCUUGAAAGCAGAUGGGUAGGAAAGCCUGCCCAGUUGUCUUGGUUUAGGCUAAUUCCAGUUUGUAGUGACAACAAGGUCAGUCUGAAGGGGGAAAAAUGAGUAUUGGUGGAUUUUAUUUUUAAUCUGAACAGAGGGCUCUGAGCAUUUGAUGCCUUUCAGUUAUCAGGUACUUACGGAUAAAUUCUUCUGGACUGUUAUUAAUUUUAUCUUCCUAUGAAGCACUGUUGCCUUCACUCUGAGUUCUUCAGGUUUGGUCAGUCCUUUAAACCCUCAGCUCUUUCCAAUCUUGCCUGCUUCUCCUAGGCAGUAGGCUGGUAAAAACCAGAUGUUUGGUAAGGUUCUAAUAUUUCUCCCUGAAAUGCCUUUGCCUCUUGUGUAUGACUUAACUUGGUUCCAGCCACCUGAAAUCUCAAAAACUAGUUCCUCUAGAUGACAGACAUUUUCUGUUUUCCAUCUGAAGUCUGCUAAUCUCUGAGGCAAGCAGAUUUUUUUUUGAUUAUAUAAGCAAACCAAAAAGUAAUUACCAACACAUUUUCUUCUGUGCUUGCCUAUCAGGAUGAAGAAAUUAAGAAGGAUAAUUAACAUGAAGAUUUUUGCCCCACAGAUGUUACAAAGCACAUUUCUGUGUCAGAACCUUCUGGAUACAGUGCCUGCCAUCUUGUGGACAAGUCAUACUGUGUCUGAAUCCUUGAGACAAAUAUUUAAAGACCACAAUAUUUUGUGUAUGUGAUAUUUGUAGCUCGAUGCAAACAAUCUUUCUUCUCGGGACUUAUUUUUCAACUGAAGUUACUUGAGUUUGCUUGGUUCCUUUAAUUUUGAGGAUGCUUGAUUUCCUCUGCUCCACUUAUUAAAACUAUCAAACAUAAAAUUCUCUGCAGUUUUCUAUUUAAGUAAGUAUAAAUAAAUAACCCAAAAUGUUCAUCUGGGAACCAGUCAGAAGUUAUUCUGAGAAAUCUGUCAAAGCUGCAUAAGUGCUACAAGCCAACAAUAAGGAGAAAAUAAUUUUAGAAAUUCCCUUGCUUCAAAUUUGAAAGCAAAAAGAUUUCUCUUAUUACAGACAUAAACAACUUGUACUGAUAUUAUUUGAAAUUAAGAUAUCUAUAUUCUUUAUUGACCUACAUUAGCUUGAUUCCUUCUUGGUAGAAUGCAAAUGACAACUCUUAUGUCAUUCUUUAGUGAGUGAAAAAUCCCUUCCAAAUGCAAUAAGGAUUAAUCUUAUGGGGAAGGUUCUAAUCCCCUCAGUAUUUGUCAAAAUAUUAUGCCUGCUGAAUGAGAUCAGGAAGCAUAAUACUCUAAAGAACUUUUGUGAAAGUCCUUUAGAGACAGCCCACUACCUGUUUUUUUAAAAUUUAUGGUAAAUGUGCUCAAAAACAAGUAUGUUAAAGUUAAAAAAAUUGUUACAAAGGUGAUGUUUUUGCUGUUACAUUGAAAGUACAAUUCUAACAAGAAACAGCUUCAGCUGUUGGUCUGACUUAAAAUCCAAUUUGGACUCAAUUUUUUGCUAAAAACAAAAAAGACCGUAAUUCAAAUUUUAUUUAAUUAAUAAAAGUUAGUGGAUGGAUUGUCACUAUUGUUACUCCCAUUUGAUUAAAGAAACAAUAAGUUUCAUUGUGUAGGUAUCUGUGUCCGCCUUACAGGUGGUCAGAGCCAUUCCUGGUUUUGGGGCAGAUGCCUUGAAUUGCUCCUGCAGAGAUCCUGGAAAGGGGCCCAUUACCGAGCCCUCCCAGCACCCAGGUGGAACACAAUUAGUGCACAGAGGUGGCAGCUCCUUCUGAGAGAUUUGUGGGGCAACUCUGGAGUGCUGAAAGCUGUCAAGGAAGUGGCAAAGCAGCUGGGUCAGAUACACAAAUGACGGUAACAUAAGCUGCUCAGAGAACUGAUGACUUACUCAACAAUCAUCUGGGACAAAACCCAAGUGUUGCAACUGUUUGAAGGUUCUAAAAUAGCUGGCUCUAAUGACAAUUAAUGAGGCCAUGCACAAUGUGAUAAUCAUAAGGAACUGUGUUUGCUGACCAGUGCUGGACACUUAUUUAUAAGCUGGACUAAACCAAGCCAUAAAUUUGCAGAAAAGCAGUUUCUUUUUAAACCAUAGAUUCUGUUGUGAUUGUGUCACAGACCAUAUGAUUUUGCUGCAGGGCAAAUUCAAGAGGAGCUGUGCAUGCAAUCAAGACUUGCAGAAUCUCUGCACCCAGCAGAUCAGCCAGCUCUCACCAGCCUACCUGAGGCUUUCUAGUUCACUUAUCUUUAUUACCAGUCUUUGUAAGCAUGUACAAUUGUUUACUGAUUGCUUUGUUUAUCAUAAAGGAUCGGUCUGAAAAGAUAAAAGGUUUCAUUUCAAACAAGGAGUGUCCUAAACAUUUGGCAUCCAGUGUAACAAGCCACUCGAGGCUGCACACAGAUCUGGGGAAGUGUUUUCUUACUGUGUAGCAAUGGCUGAUGAGAUUGCAUUUCACCAUGAUUAGUCAUCUGUUUGGUAAAUGGUUGUUAAUAUUCACAUUGCUGUUGCUGUUUUAGCUCUGUAGCUAUGACAUUUGUGCCCAGAUGAUAUUCUUCCUGGCUUGCUGCUUCCUACAGACAACUAGUAUCAAGUGACAAGAUAUGGCAUAUAAUGUCUGAGUUUCUGAAACAGGAACUGACCCCUUUGGACCUGAGACUUGAGAGAUUCACUGAAGUGGCUUCAAUGAAGGCAGUCCUGCCAGAGGUGGGGAGCUGAAAUGCUAAACAUGAUGUCAAAAAUAUCCUUAAAUCAUGUAACCUAAGUUAAAAAAACCCUAGAAAUGAUAGACUAAUACAUAAUUCAAUAUUGAUAACUCAUAAAGUGAGAGAAGCAUAAGAAAAUAAAUGCUUAUUGGAAUAUAGCUUUGGACAUAAUGUGUGAGUGAUGCUAGAAACAGACUUUAAGAGAAGGAGGUAUUUGAGGCCUGAAGGAAAGUCUUAUUGGAUAACUAUGAAUUUUUAGUAAUAUGGUCUCAAUCUUUAUACAUAUUUCUGUAUUUCUUGCCUAUAUCCCAACGAAAUCACAAUAAUCCUGGUGUCCAGAUGACAGCUGUGUGAAUAUUAGAAUUAAGCACAAGAGAAUACUGUGUCAUUCCUUACUCACUUUAGAUCCACAGAGUUGGAUCAAAGCACUUCAUGAAAACAUUUCUGGCUGCUGCCUCAAGCAAAGUAGCAGGAAGCUUCGCUGUAAGAUUUAGAUCAGUGAUUUCAGUGUCAGAUACAAGAGCUGGCAAGGCUGAUUUAUGCCAAUAUUAUACCACAGCUUGGCCAAAGAGCAGGUCAGGCAUUAUUCUGGAGGAAGGGCAUGAAGAAAGGAUUUUUGUACCAUUUCAUUCAGCAGUGACAUCAGAGCAGUGGAAAUCAUGUUUCAGUUCUGACUACAGGAAAAAUAAUCAGGCAGCUUUAUUUUUAAAAUCAUAUCCUUCCUGUACCCUGUCUAAGGAGUAGGAAGAUGAAUUUGAAGGGUAAAUGUUUGGAGAAUCAUAAUUUUCCUCUCUGUUUUGUCAUGGCAUUAAUAGAUAAUCCAUCAAAUAAUUGAUGACUUUAUCAAGACAGACCUGCUGUUUUUAAAGGUAAAAUUUUCUAUCAUAACCAUUUCUUUCUAGUGUCCAUACUAGGAGAACCAUUACUGGCAGUGAGUGGUUGUUCUUCUCAUAAUCCUUUACAUGAAGUGCCAAGUGUUCUGAGAAAAAGAAAUCUAUCAUUACCUCUUUUGACACCACACUUCUGUCUCACUCUCUAGGGAAGAUAAUAUGAUUUGCAUGCUUAAAUAUUUUGCUGUACUGUGUUUUGCAGUCUGGCAGCUGUUAUCAGUUAUGAUGAUCAAAUAACAUUACGAGAGUUGGUAAUUAAGAAGGAAACAGUACUAGAAGGACAGCAAAGUACUAAUAUUUAAUUUCACAAUUCUGUUAAUCAAUUGCUUUUCUGGGGAAUCAUUUCCAGUUUUAGACUAGAUAUAUACUACUUCUGUUUAACAUGAUAAAUUACACUGAAGUGUGGGAUCCUGUUGUCAUCUUUGAGGUUUCUCACGGGAAUUUCAACACUUGUAUCAUUGUACUAACUGUUGAAAUUGUGUUGGAGUUUUUGUUCUGUUUGCUUAGCAUUUCAGCAGUUAAGAAAAAACAAUUAUGCUAUCAGAUUAUUUGGCUUAAUGUAUCUACCUUGCUUCUCUUUAUAUCUGUCUUUGUACAUUGAUCAUUGCUUUGAAACUGCAUUCUGGUACAACUCUGUAAGUAUCUAGUAUUACUGAAAUGAUCAAAAGUCAUAGAAAUUUUUAUCUAGCUUCAACAAAUCAGUAUAUGCAAAAUUAUAUACAUUUAUAAAAAUA